UGGAGGUGGGGGAAACUAAAAAGCGGGGUAACAACCUAGGAUUUGCACGUGGAACCUGAGUGGAGACGCUUCCCUAGACCUGGGGAGGAUUGAGGAUCCUGGCAGCCACACAGUUGCCAUUCCAGGCUUGUGUGGGAGAAGAUUGUUGUGCGCCUGUGUCUCUCCGCCUGAGCGGCUCCAGCCCCUAGUUUAAAAAGUGUCACCAUUUGUCAAGAAUUAAGCUUAUUACCUGGCCUACUCAUCUCACACAAUCAAGAUAAUGAUAUGUAAGACUGGUAACUCUGAGGGACUGUUCAAAUUUCAUAUUAGUAUUGCAGCAACUAUAUUUCCAUGGCUUGUAGGAGGGUAACAACUACUCUGGAAAAUAGAAAUA